AUUGAAAAUUCACAACAAAAAAAGUCACAUGGGAGAUCUAGAUUAUCAGCUAUGUAAAUAUUGCAUAUAGUCUGUAUGUACGUUGCGCUCGAUUUCAGUUCGAUUCCAAUCUCUCUGCUAAGUCGAGCGUUAAGUUCGAGCUUUCAGUUUAAUUUUUCUGAGGCAACUGGAAAUACUUUGAUUAUUCUACUGAUAAGAACUUGUUCACUUAUUGUGGAAUCUCAACGAAGAAACAAAUAUAAUUCAAAGCUUGCACAACAUGGACAUUUCUAUACUGUCUGCUCUGACACUGAUGCUGGCUGUCUGGGCUGUGGCUGUGGCUGGGGGUGUGUAAUCUACGUCUACGUCGUAUAAUAAUUAUAAUAAAUGAACAAACUUGCAGAUUGUGUGACAGAUCCCGUGACCAUGCUGUGCAUUUUGGAUCCCAAUCAGGGCUAAUAACCAUAUGCGGAUACUGAUAUGUGUCUCCAACCAGAGUGGAUUCUCUCUUGAAUAAAGUGAAAACGUGGAACUAAAGUUUUUGACACAGAUUUUC
rnacentral:lncRNA from 1 species